GAUGAACGCUGGCGGCGUGCCUAAUACAUGCAAGUCGAGCGAAUGGAUUAAGAGCUUGCUCUUAUGAAGUUAGCGGCGGACGGGUGAGUAACACGUGGGUAACCUGCCCAUAAGACUGGGAUAACUCCGGGGAACCGGGGCUAAUACCGGAUAACAUUUUGAACCGCAUGGUUCGAAAUUGAAAGGCGGCUUCGGCUGUCACUUAUGGAUGGACCCGCGUCGCAUUAGCUAGUUGGUGAGGUAACGGCUCACCAAGGCAACGAUGCGUAGCCGACCUGGGAGGGGGAUCGGCCCACCUGGGACUGAGACACGGCCCAGACUCCUACGGGAGGCAGCAGUAGGGAAUCUUCCGCAAUGGACGAAAGGCUGACGGAGCAACGCCGCGUGAGUGAUGAAGGCUUUCGGGUCGUAAAACUCUGUUGUUAGGGAAGAACAAGUGCUAGUUGAAUAAGCUGGCACCUUGACGGUACCUAACCAGAAAGCCACGGCUAACUACGUGCCAGCCGCCGCGGUAA
rnacentral:rRNA from 1 species